AGUUUAUUUUAUUAAUUAUUUUUCUUCUCUUCUCCAGCUUUUUGAUGCGUGGAUGUACCAGCAGGUGCACUGAGCAUUCAGCCUUCAUACCAUGAUGAUGAAUGGUGGGAGAAUGCAAAGAAUACCUAUUACAAACUCUCCGGCCCAGUGUGAUAAUGCUUGGUGGAGCAGCCAUACCUGCAGUAGGACUGGUGUCACUCACAGGUUGAUCCUGGAGCUCUACAUUGCGGUAUAAUCGAAGUCCCUAAAGGCUUCCGCAAUCUCCUUUUCCAUGGCCAAGGAACCCUCGGAGGGAGGAGUUAGAACUAGAUGUUGAUCUUUAUCCUCGGAAAGUCUAACAUCCUCAGCAUUUCGUAAAUUACAAUGCCCAGAGACCACCAGUCGACAGAUCUUGAGUAUGGCUCCCUGGCGAGGACUUCUGGUGCCAUGUAGCCAAAAGAUCCUUUCAGGCUACUUGUUCGGCCUUCGUAGCCAAUUCCUGAAAAAAACAGUUAUUGUAAGUCUUUAAGCAGCCGCCAGCAACGUACUCCAUCAGAAAGAAUAGAUGGUAUUCUGACUGGAAAGUGGCGUGGAUAUCCACAACGAAAGGGUGGUCAGCAACGGCGAAAGCAACCCGUUUCUCUAGCAAGAUCCUGAAUAUUAAAAGCAUUCAUUGUCAGAACAAGGGACAUGGGUAAGUAACAAAGCCAACCAUGCUAAAAUGAUCAUUUCCAUAAACUGACCUUUCAAUGCCCCUUGAGGAGGUGAUGCUCUCCUUUUUCAAGAUUUUCAGGGCAUAGGAUCUUUUGGUUGCCGCGUGUUCAACAAGGAGAACCUGGAAUAAGAGAGAUUCUCAGGAAAUGCAGGAAGAUACAUGCAGAACAUCCAUACCCCUUUCAGAGAGCUGCAAGAAUCGAUCCAUACUUGCCCCCAGCAUUGCAAGGUUGCAUCUUACUGUGGGUCCUUUGUCACUGCCAGUGGACAUCCUUCUGCUGCAUCAGGUGGAGUUGGGCUGAUGUUUUCUUCAUCCACAGAUAUCUCACUAUAAGGAAAAGUCUCUAAUCGUCAGGCAUGAAGCGACAGCUUGAUAUUUCCAUCUGCCUUACCUCAGAAUGCCGGUGCCGACGCAAGAUGUUAGAAUGUCCGGCACCCAUCUUGACGCUCCUGUAUGAGAAAAAAAAAGGUUGGUGUAAGUGGCUGCUUCAGUGGAGAUAAAGAAUACAACUGUUUGUAGCUGCUGGUAAACUACAAGCUCAAGACAAGCACCUGUCUGUAACCUCACUGCUACACAUCUGAGCAGAAAGUCACAUUUUCCCAAUAAUCCUCGGCAACAAAGAAGAUAAAGAAGACGAUUAAUCAAGAACUGAGACUGACGUCUAGAAAUAAACAGCAACCGUCCAAUUUCAUUUUUUGGGUAUCUUGAUGCAGAAAGUCAUAUUUUCCCAAUAAUCCUCGGCGACAAAGAAGACAUUUAAUCAAGAACGGAGACUGACGUCUAGAAAUAAACAGCAACCAUCCAAUUUAAUUUUCGGGUUUCUUGAUGCAGGUAAGUGUUCAGUCUCUUUGUCUAAAUGAUACCUACCUACCUGCUGGCUGAUCUAGAGGAAGGUGAAACCCCCAUCUGAACCUUGUAUUUCUCCCAUUGCUAAAAGUCAAUCAACCCUUUCUUGAAGCUGCGUAA